rnacentral:tRNA from 1 species
GCAGAUGUGGUCUAAUGGCUAAGACUCCAGCCUUCCAAGCUGGUUAUGCGGGUUCGAAUCCCGUCAUUUGCU